CAGGGGUUGACCCUCACCAGGGGUUGAUCCUCACCAGAGGUUGACCCUCACCAGGGGUUGACCCUCACCAGGGGUUGAUCCUCACCAGGGGUUGACCCUCACCAGGGGUUGAUCCUCACCAGGGGUUGACCCUCACCAGGGGUUGAUCCUCACCAGAGGUUGACCCUCACCAGGGGUUGACCCUCACCAGGGGUUGACCCUCACCAGGGGUUGAUCCUCACCAGGGGUUGACCCUCACCAGGGGUUGAUCCUCACCAGAGGUUGACCCUCACCCCUGGUCUCAUCUCUCCAAGCUUAUGCUCUACACAUAUUCAUGCUGGAAGGCUGGCCUGUACAUCGGUUUCGGGUCCGAACGCUGGAUCGACCCCGACAUCUCCAACCCUGUAUUCGCCUCGUUGAGGCACCAGUACUUCUACUUCUUCUGGUUCUCUGUGCAUAUCUUCACCACUGUGGGCGACAUGACUACCUGUUUAUGAUGGCAGACCUGCUGAUCACCAUGCUGGUGUUUGCCUCCAUCGUGGGACAUGCCCAGACUGGCUAAUCCUACCUCAUCCAAACGUCUUCCAUUUAAGAAUGAUGGAGGCCAUUGUUUACUUGGUGACCUUCAAAGCUGCAGAAAUGUUUUAGUACCCUUCCCCAGAUCUGUGCCCCGACACAAACCUGUCUCGGAACUCUACAGAGAAUUCCUUUGACCUCGUGGCUAAUGGCUCUGUCAUGCACUGUCAACUGUGGGACCUUAUAUAGACGUGUGUGCCUUUCCAAAUCAUGUCCAAACAAUUGAAUCUACCACAGGUGGACUCAAAUCAAGUUGUAGAAACAUCUCAAGGACGAUUAAUGGAAACAGGAUGUACCUGAGCUCAAUUUCGAGUCUCAUAGCAAAUGGCCUGAAUUCUUAUGUAAAUAAGGUUGUGCCUGGAUUUUAUUUUUUGUACAUUUGCAAAAAUGUCUAAAAACCUGUUUUCACUUUCAUUGUGGGGUAUUGUGAUGUCAUUGUGGGGUAUUGUGAUGUCAUUGUGGGGUGUUGUGAUGUCAUUAUGGGGUAUUGUGAUGUCAUUAUGGGGUGUCGUGUGUAGAUUGAUGAGGGGAAAAAAUGAAUUAUCAAUUUUAGAAUAAGGCUGUAACGUAACAAAAUGUGGAAAAAGUCAAGGGGUCUGAAUACUUUCCAAAUGCAUUGUAAUACCACAAGAAGCUGUUCUCUUUCUGCACCAACCUUGACAGGAAAGUGCUAACCAACGUACCAUGACGACAUAGC
ensembl:lncRNA